GACCAAGUCCAUCGAGGAGCGCGAAGAGGAGUACCAGCGCGUCCGCGAGCGCAUCUUCGCCCGUGAGACAGGCCAGAACGGCUACCUGACUGACAACAGACUCGCCCAAGACGCCUUGUCCUGUAGCUCGCACAAAAGGCACCAGAUCUUUAGGUACCUGUGUGUGCCCCCCCAUGCUGCCCCCCACCACCC